rnacentral:rRNA from 1 species
AGCAGUAGCCGCGGGAAUACAGAGGGUGCAAGCGUUAAUCGGAAUUACUGGGCGUAAAGCGCGCGUAGGUGGUUUGUUAAGUUGGAUGUGAAAGCCCCGGGCUCAACCUGGGAACUGCAUCCAAAACUGGCAAGCUAGAGUACGGUAGAGGGUGGUGGAAUUUCCUGUGUAGCGGUGAAAUGCGUAGAUAUAGGAAGGAACACCAGUGGCGAAGGCGACCACCUGGACUGAUACUGACACUGAGGUGCGAAAGCGUGGGGAGCAAACAGGAUUAGAUACCCCCGUAGUCCCUGUCUCUUAUAC